UACAGAGGUCUCAAGCGUUGUUCGGAUUCACUGGGCGUAAAGCGCACGUAGGCGGAUUGCUAAGUCAGGGGUGAAAUCCUGGAGCUCAACUCCAGAGCUGCCUUUGAUACUGGCGACCUUGAGUCCGGGAGAGGUGAGUGGAACUGCGAGUGUAGAGGUGAAAUUCGUAGAUAUUCGCAAGAACACCAGUGGCGAAGGCGGCUCACUGGCCCGGUACUGACGCUGAGGUGGCGAAAGCGUGGGGAGCAAACAGG
rnacentral:rRNA from 1 species